UAUCAGAGAGUACCGCCCUUCUCGCAAAAUAUUGAAAACCCUAACCAAUCUCUGCACAAAAUCUCAGUUUUAAAUGUGAAAUCGAAAUCCUCAAGCGACCAUUUAACUUUGUUCCUCUUGGGCAAAGGUUCAAAGGAGCAGUCCGUACACAUUUUCUUGCAGCAGACCACAUGAUAAGGGCAAAGGUUCAAAGGAGCACUUCUGAGGAAGAGAGGCCACAUGACAUCCAAGGUUUAAUUUGGCUCGUUUGAUGAAGACAAAGUUAAGUUUUACAAUUAUAACUAAUUAAAUUUCCUUUUU